rnacentral:rRNA from 1 species
UAGGGAAUCUUCGGCAAUGGACGAAAGUCUGACCGAGCAACGCCGCGUGAGUGAAGAAGGUUUUCGGAUCGUAAAACUCUGUUGUUAGAGAAGAACAAGGACGUUAGUAACUGAACGUCCCCUGACGGUAUCUAACCAGAAAGCCACGGCUAACUCCGUGCCAGCAGCCGCGGUAAUACGUAGGUGGCAAGCGUUGUCCGGAUUUAUUGGGCGUAAAGCGAGCGCAGGCGGUUUCUUAAGUCUGAUGUGGAAGCCCCCGGCUCAACCGGGGAGGGUCAUUGGAAACUGGGAGACUUGAGUGCAGAAGAGGAGAGUGGAAUUCCAUGUGUAGCGGUGAAAUGCGUAGAUAUAUGGAGGAACACCAGUGGCGAAGGCGGCUCUCUGGUCUGUAACUGACGCUGAGGCUCGAAAGCGUGGGGAGCAAACAGG